UGGGGAAUAUUGGGCAAUGGCCGAAAGGCUGACCCAGCGACGCCGCGUGGGGGAUGAAGCCCUUCGGGGUGUAAACCCCUUUUCUGGGGGAAGAUAAUGACGGUACCCCAGGUAUAAGGGACGGCCAACUACGGGCCAGCAGCCGCGGUCAUACGAAGGUCCCGAACGUUGGGCGAAAUUACUGGGCGUAACGGGGCCGUAGGCGGUCUGGGAAGUGGAAGGCGAAAUCCUACGGCUCAACCGGAGAUU
rnacentral:rRNA from 1 species